GAUGAACGCUGGCGGCGUGCCUAAUACAUGCAAGUCGAGCGAACCAUCUAGAACCUAUUUCUUCGGUUUUAAGCGCUGUACGGGUGAGUAACAGAGGGGUAACUAACGUAUAGGUCUGGUGUAACUUCGUGAAGCCGAGCAGCUGACAGCGGAUUGUAUUAACCCGUAUGCUCAAAAUGUUAAAUGAGAUUUUGUGGUCACUUCUGGUGGUAUCCGCUCCGCAUUAGUUAGUUGGUAAGGUAACGGCUUAAAAAGGCGACCAUGCGUAGCCGCCCUGAGAGGGUGAACGGCCACACUGGAACUGAGACACGGUCCAGACUCCGACGGGAGGCAGCAGUAGGGAAUCUUCCGCAAUGGGCGAAAGCCUGACGGAGCAACGCCGCGUGAGUGAUGAAGGUCUUAGGAUCGUAAAACUCUGUUAUUAGGGAAGAACAAAUGUGUAAGUAACUAUGCACGUCUUGACGGUACCUAAUCAGAAAGCCACGGCUAACUACGUG
rnacentral:rRNA from 1 species